CGAGUCUCAUCGGGGUGCCAAAACUGUGCAGGUUUAAUCUGUCGAGCGGUUGGCUGAGAGUAUACACCCGUUGAACCUGAUCCGGUUAGCACCGGCGUAGGGAUUGAGCCAUGCCUUGCU
rnacentral:ncRNA from 1 species